rnacentral:rRNA from 1 species
AUACGGAAGGUCCGGGCGUUAUCCGGAUUUAUUGGGUUUAAAGGGAGCGCAGGCGGAGAUGCAAGCGUGACGUCAAAUUUCGGGGCUCAACCCCGUCUCGCGUCGCGAACUGCGUCCCUUGGUUGCGGGAAGGGGAGGCGGAACUCGCGGUGUAGCGGUGAAAUGCAUAGAUAUCACGAAGAACUCCGAUCGCGAAGGCAGCCUUCCGGCCCGUCAACGACGCUCAUGCUCGAAGGUGCGGGUAUCAAACAGGAUUAGAUUCCCUGGUAGUCCGCACAGUAAACGAUGGACACCCGCGGUUUGGCCUAUAUGGCUGAGCCGCCAAGCGAAAGCGUUAAGUGUCCCACCUGGGGAGUACGCCGGCAACGGUGAAACUCAAAGGAAUUGACGGGG